rnacentral:rRNA from 1 species
AGUCAACCUACCCUAUGGACGGGAAUAAUCUCGGGAAACUGAGGAUAAUGCCCGAUAGAACACUAUGCCUGGAACGGCUUGUGUUCCAAAUGAUUUAUCGCCGUAGGAUGGGACUGCGGCCUAUCAGUUUGUUGGUGAGGUAAUGGCCCACCAAGACUAUUACAGGUACGGGCUCUGAGAGGAGUAGCCCGGAGAUGGGUACUGAGACACGGACCCAGGCCCUAUGGGGCGCAGCAGGCGAGAAAACUUUGCAAUGUGCGAAAGCACGACAAGGUUAAUCCGAGUGGUUCCUGCUAAAGGAACCUUUUGACGGUCCUAAAAACACCGUUGAAUAAGGGGUGGGCAAGUUCUGGUGUCAGCCGCCGCGGUAAAACCAGCACCUCAAGUGGUCAGGAUGAUUAUUGGGCCUAAAGCAUCCGUAGCCGGCUCUGUUAGUUUUCGGUUAAAUCUGUGCGCUCAACGUACAGGCUGCCGGGAAUACUGCAGAGCUAGGGAGUGGGAGAGGUAGACGGUACUCGGAAGGAAGGGGUAAAAUCCUUUGAUCUAUUGAUGACCACCUGUGGCGAAGGCGGUCUACCAGAACACGUCCGACGGUGAGGGAUGAAAGCUGGGGGAGCAAACCGGAUUAGAUACCCGGGUAGUCCCAGCUGUAAACUAUGCAAACUCAAUGAUGCACUGGCUUGAAGCCAAUGCAGUGUU